AUAACUCCAUUAUCAGAGCUACGUCCCAUGAACACCUUGUACAAUGUUCAUGUCAGGGUCUCAAGGACUUGGGAAUAUAGGGGUAAAAGUGAAAAAACCCCUCUAAUCCAUUUUGACAUGGUGCUCAUCGAUCAAAAGGGUUAUGCGAUGUACUAUGAGGUACCUCCACAAGUGCUGGAUCAGUUGAAACAAUAUUUAGAAGAUUACAAAUUCCUCAGUGGCACUUCAGCAUGUCGGUGGUAUAUAAAUGAAAAUGACAUUCCAGCGAUGAGGACAUUUCAAAGAGGACUGCCAUCUCUGGUGACACCAAUUAAAAAACUAGAACUCCAAAGCGAAGAUUACAUGGAGCAAGGUGUAGAACAAAAAACUCUGUUUGACCUGAAAUAGAUUGAUCCUUUGACUGACAAGAACAAAAGAUUUCAGUGUACAGUCACACUGAUAUCCAUACCAGAAAAAGAGGAAUGAUGCUAUAGAGCUUGCAGAGUUUGCAAUUCCAGAAUGAUACCAAGUGAUGAUGGAUAUCAAUGCACAAAGAUAGAUGGCUGCUCAUGCAAGCAAUAUGAUUGGAAGUGUCAUUAUCAUACACUCCCGAGUUCACAGAUAUACAACAUAUGGAUGUCGACCAGCAGUCUGAAACUGGAAGAAGCUAAAAAAUGAGGAAUGAUCAAACGAGGUGGCUGCGAAGGUCAAGCCUGCUGGAAAGACAUCGUACAAGACCAUGGUCUCAGCCAGUGACUACACCGAGUUUGAGAACUUCUCAAAAUGGCUCAUUUUGCUUAAAGUUUCUGGAUAUUUUGUUGUACAGGGACCACCGAUGUGGACCGCUCCUUUUGCUUAAAGUUUCUGGAUACAACUUUGGCUAAUUAAUGCUCUUACUACAUAUCUUUUGGUUGAAUAUCAAGCUUUAGACAGCCCAGAACAUUUGUAUGCACCAUAUCAUUGUGUAGAUAAUGAAAUGACAGGCUCUAAGAUAUCUUUUGAAGAGAAAAAUUAGAUUCACUUGUGCUGACAA